rnacentral:pre_miRNA from 1 species
GUGGAUGGUGGUCAGCUCCAAGGAGAGGUCUGUUUACCUGUGUGUGGAUGGUGUUCAGCACCAAGGGUAGGUCUGUUUGUGU